CGGCGGAGUGUGUUGACUCGAUCGCCUGCAGGUCGCUGCACUCUCUCUCUCUCUCUGUCCCUCUCUGUCUGUCUCUCUGGGAGCGACGACUCAGUGGAGCAUUCGAGUGAGUUUGGUGGGCAACUAUGCUAGUGAUAGCAGGCAACAUGCCACAUGCGGCAUGCAGCAGGCAGCAGGCAGCUAGGAAAGUUGACUGACACCGCAAUGGCAGGACUUUAACCCAAAGGCAGCCCAACACAAAGUGAAAUCCAAGUCGAAGUUGAAUGUUGCAAGUUGCCAGUUGGCCUUUCCACGUGUUGCACGAACACUCGUCUCUGUCUGUGUCUGUGUGUUGUGAAAGUCUCAUUUUCGGCAUUUUCUUCGAUGGCUUUUGAUGACAGCUGCAAUCUCUUCACGAUAAAAAAAGCGGAUGCAGUUCUUCGAUUAUAUCAGCAGCUCCUUUGGCAUCCAACCCAAUUAAAGGCCCCCCACCCCUCCCCCAAACAGUGGAGAACCUUCUUCAAAGCAGGGCAGACCAGGCCAGACCAGGGCAGGAGUACAAGAAACCAAAAAAAAACCAAAAAGAAGUCAAGCCCAGGUCCGAGAGACUUUGUUAAUUCCCGAAAAUAUUGCUUCCUUUAUGUGUCUUAUAUAUCAUUAUCAUCAUUCUCCCCAUCGCAAACAGAAAUAACCCAAACGAUCCGAUCUCCAAAGGCGACGCAACAAGUUCAAACGAAUCUUUUGUUUCGUCUUUUUUUUGUGUUUGUUUUUUUUUGCAUUCAGAAUAACGCGGAAAGCGUUUAAGCAGCCGCCCCAAAAAAAA